UGGCGAUCAAAGCGUCGGAGGUUCGUUUUGUUCUCCUUGAAUGGACUGAGGGUGAGGAUAGAGGGGCCCAUAGUAUUUUGCCCCUCGACUGUGUCCGUAAUUUUUCAAUUCAAGAUUUUUUUGAAAGGACGGAUAAAACAGAAAAGCUGGUGGAAUGGCGAAAAGGCCGCCAACCGUGGCCGGUGCACCGAGCCAGAAUUAUUGACGUGGCAAAACUUGAAAAAACUCUCCAGAUAAAAUUGAUUGAGAUGGAGAAAGAGGACACACAAAGGCAAAUCAAACGUCCUCACAUCCCUAACUCGAAGUACAGCGAGCAGCAGGGGCAGGCUUCAAAGAAAAAGGUUGACAGUAAAAAGGGAGGGACUUCCAAAUACAAGCACCAGGAGGGUGAGAAGCAGGAGGAGGGUCA